UCAGCCGCCGCCGCUGGCGCGCACUGUACAGCUGCAUCAGCUGUUCGUAGGACAUGUCCAGCAGCUGGUCCAGGUCCACGCCGCGGCUUCUGAAAGGAUAUGGGCCAGUGCAUCAGAUUUUGUUGCUGAGCAGGUUGGAGAAGAGCAUCAAAGGUGAGAGCAAAGGUAAGAACCAGCAUAGAUGUGGGAAUGAGUGGGUGGGUGCACCGGCCAAGAAGGGGCCUGACUGAAGGACCAGGGAACAACCAAUAGGUUAUGGAAGGCUGGAGUCAGAUUGCAGAGACUAGAGACUCCUAAUAUCAGGCUGAGAAAUCAAAUAGCUGUUCAUCAUUUGUGCCUGAGGAUGGAUCAGAGCAACGUGAUGAAAGUGGCACUUGUGUAAGACUUGCCCAGCAAAGUAGGGCAAGGAU
ensembl:lncRNA novel transcript